UACGGAGGAUCCGAGCGUUAUCCGGAUUCAUUGGGUUUAAAGGGUGCGUAGGUUGUUUUAUAAGUUAGCGGUGAAAUACCGAUGCUCAACAUCGGGGCUGCCGCUGAUACUGUAGGACUAGAGAUCGGAUGCAGCAGGCGGAAUGUGUAGUGUAGCGGUGAAAUGCAUAGAUAUUACACAGAACACCGAUUGCGAAGGCAGCUUGCUAGGCCGGAUCUGACACUGAUGCACGAAAGCGUGGGGAUCGAACA
rnacentral:rRNA from 1 species